rnacentral:tRNA from 1 species
GCCGGGUUAGCACAGCGGUAGUGCAAUCGAUUCGUAAUCGAUAGGUCGCGAGUUCGAUUCUCGCACCCGGCA